rnacentral:lncRNA from 1 species
UGGUGAUCUUUGGUUAUUUGUGCUGAAGGAAGAUACAUCAACUACCAACAUCAGGUAAGAAGCAUUAAGUGGAGUAUAUCUAUGGAGGAAUUAUACACUUGUCAUUUUUGUUCCAUUAAGGCUCCUUAUUAAUGUUUCUACUGUUUUCAUGCUUUCACGCGAUAAUUUCCUUCUCCCUUUUACCACCGGCCUCUCUUGUAUGAGUGUAUCAAUCAAGGUAUCAUUAUUAGUAAUACCUUAAUGAAUGUUUCUGAGGAUAAAAAAAGUAUGGCUGAUAAACAAUGAUCAGUUGAAAUCAUGAGAUAGUGGUAUCUGUAACUAGGUAAUCUUUAGGAGAAAAGGCUAAAAAUUUAUGAUAAUAACUACUAUGGCUAAUAUGCAGUUGUUUACUCCACAUAUAUGAAAAACUUUAUGAUAAUAACGAUUGACGAUUGUGACUUUUUGGUUGCUUACCUUAUUUUGCAGUCAACUCUUUGAUGAACACUAAAUCUCUUCUAACCAAUAUUUCAUUCAUUAAAUUCAAUUUGAUCAGUCGUGAUUGCUGGUAGAAUGCAUGUCAAAAGGAUUUAAUUGGCAUAUUUCAGAUAGUAGUCUAGAUGAUAGCUGAAUAUUAUUGUAUCAUAACAUAGGCAAGAACACUACAUGCAUAGUGAUUGAUUAAUUGAUUUCGAUGAGCUUCUGUAGUAUUUAUUUGCUGGUUUUCAGCUCGACUUGUUUUGUUGAUUUUAGUCAGCUAUAUGCUUGCUUUUUGACCAUUCCACUAAAGUGGACUAAAGAUACUGCUGAGAAGAAAAAUGAAAAACCAGUCUAGUCUUUGCAAGACAAUUCUUCUACCUCUGUUUCUGACUUUGUUUCAUUAUCAAUUUUUCUACUGGAUUAAAUUGUACAUUUUUUCUUCACUGAAGUUUGUAUAUUCUAUGACCUUGGGAUCAACAUUUAUCCAAAUUUGGCAGUAUAUCCCAUUAAGUUUGGUCUUGAGAUUUCUUUAGAAUUCUGAUUUGCUUUGCUGCUAUUGCAAGAUUGUUUAGAGGCAUUUAAUUCACCUAAGUCUUACUUGUGAUGUCUGAGAUAUCUUGGCUUCUUGUCAUGUAUUGAUUCCGUCCCGCUCACUUGAUUGUCCUAUUUCAGUUUGAGUUGAUUACUAAAAGAACAGUCGAAAGUGUGUGUUUUUUAAGAAUGAGAUUUUGUGUGUGGGAGACACCGGAUUUGCUUUUGUGCAUACCUUACUACUCAAAGUUUGUCUUAUCUCUGGCCUUUUGAACAGAACAUGAAGACAUAUAAUUUAUUAAAGAGAGUUAACUCCUAGCAAAAUGCCCCAUGCACUACUAAAAUUACUACUGCAACCAUCAGUAUUUAGUUUAAGAUGGACUGAGUUAGAUCUUAUCCGUCAUACCAUUUGGGUCUAUAUAACUAUUUAAUUCUACCUUUUUAGCCCAUGAAUUUGAUAACUUGGGAAAUCAACUUUGUAUCAAUAUGUCCAUCAUCCAGCAUAUCCCUAUUGAAUAAUAGAUCUCAUGUUAUUUUAAUUACUCCAUAUACGAAACACUAGUGGUAGCAGAAUUUUACUGAGGGACUAAAUUUUUUUAAUCUCUCAUCAUUAUAUCCUAUGAGGUGUUCUUACAUUGUUGCUGGAUUUCUGAUUAUCUUAUGAAGAAAAAGAAGAAUAAAAAUGGUCAUGUCUUAUCAAUAGAGAAUCUGCUUGGCAGACAUUCACGCGAGACGGGUAUGCUAGCAGAUAUUUAGUGAAAUGUCUUUCCCUCAGGCCAUGACUAUCGUUUUGAGCAUAAACAAUUAGCUCUUUGUGGGUUGUUUAUAACUAGUUGAAUGCAACAAUCUCAAGAUUAUCUUAGUUAUAUUAAUUUGAAGCCUGUCAAAGUGGCGAUAAACACUAUAUAAUAUUCUAUAUGAUUUAAGAGGUGAAGAAAAAAUAAGAUGUGUAGCAGCUAAAGAGAUUGACAUUACAUUUUUGCUCUUGAUCUUACAGAGACUUAAAGAAUCAUGAAUCAACAAGGGUGUUCGAGAAAUCAUCAAAAAGCUAAAAACUUUCUUUCAGCUGGAUCACUAGUAGUUCUACGAAACAAACAAAUACUAGAACAGAAGAAAAAAAAGAAGAAGAAGAAGAAGAAGAAGAAGAAGAAGAGCACAAGCUACAUAAAUGCAAAGGAAAA